AGAGCUAAUCACCUUUUAGAUUCAGACAUCGCUUGUCAAUCAACUCGAGAACGCGCAUCCGCAUCAGCUAUACAAGCCGGGAAAAUUGCGUUUUAUUUAUUUUUUUGCGUAUUCUGAGUUUCCGUCUCAGUUGAACUGCGUGACAGUCACAUGAUACACUGUAACGUUCAUGCAUGUUUGCUUUAUAACAUCAGAUCUUCAUCAGCUCUACACAGAAGAUGCUUCUGAUACAUGAUCUGUCUGGAAGUUUAUAGUGUGUAAUACUGGACUGAAGCAGCAUCUUCAUCAUCAUCAUCAUCAUCAUCAUCAUCAUCAUGCCUCUGACAGCUGCUGUGAUUGGUGGAGUUCAGAAUCUGGUGCUGUAUGAGACGAGAGCCGUAAGUGACAUUAAAUGAUUGAAAUAAAGAGAUAAUGUAAUAGUCAUUAGCAAAUCAAGAACAGUUUGGGUCAUAUUUCACCCCAUAAUCAAAAUAGGGAAAUAAAUAAAUGCUAUUUUACAUUAAGAAAAUAUUACGUUU